AUUGAACGCUGGCGGCAGGCCUAACACAUGCAAGUCGAACGAGUGGCGGACGGGUGAGUAAUGUCUGGGAAACUGCCUGAUAGAGGGGGAUAACUACUGGAAACGGUGGCUAAUACCGCAUACUAUCGGAUGUGCCCAUAUGGGAUUAGCUAGUAGGUGGGGUAAAGGCUCACCUAGGCGACGAUCCCUAGCUGGUCUGAGAGGAUGACCAGCCACACUGGAACUGAGACACGGCCCAGACUCCUACGGGAGGCAGUAGUGGGGAAUAUUGCACAAUGGGCGCAAGCCUGAUGCAGCCAUGCCGCGUGUAUGAAGAAGGCCUUAGGGUUGUAAAGUACUUUCAGCGGGGAGGCGUUACCCGCAGAAGAAGCACCGGCUAACUCCGUGCCAGCAGCCGCGGUAAUAC
rnacentral:rRNA from 1 species